UACCAAACUGAAUAGUAAGGGGCUGAUUUGGAUCUUCUCCAUCCCUUCUGUCUCGCUCAAACUUCGACCUCCUAGAAGAAGUCUCUGGCAAUUCUUCCGUAGGUUCACCUGUACCAAUCUCUUCACUGUCUUUGAGAACAUCUUGAUUGGCUGUCUCGAGUAGUCUAGGUGCCUUAGGACGUAGCAUUCCCUGUUGCCUCAUCAUUCACCCAUAGUUCCAUUGAAAACGCCUUUGUUGGGUUCUAGUCAUCACGUUGAAAGGUAUCACCCUUCCAGCCUUAUACUAGAACGAAUGCCAUACAUUUGGUUGGUGAGGUUGUGGUCAGAAUGUUUUCCCAUUAUUUACUGGCCUGAAUUGCCUCUCAAAAGGCGGUCCCUUAUAGAACGAUGUACCCCGCUCUCUACCAGGCUGAGCGUUUGGAAAAAAAUUAGGGCGAUGGUGAUGCUGCCAUAUCCCUGGUUUCUCUACAUUUGCACUCACUUCUUUUUUGCAUCUUGUACAUAGGACGUCUUCAUCCUUUUUGGGCUCCUUCCCUUUGAUACGUUCAAAGACGCUGGGAUGUGGUCCAGGGUCUUCUUCUCCAUCAUCUAUAACCAAUUUGAAUUUUAGCAACUUGUUUUUGAAAUCAGACAUCACCAUGUUCAUUCCAAGUGGCUGUGGAAAAGGAUUUUCAUCCACUACCAUCUUCCUCUUAUCCUUGAACGUAAUUCAUCCUAAUUCAAUGGCAUCCUGUAAUACAUGGCGAAAAACCAAACACUUGUUAGUCAAAUGUGACCAUGCAUUAUGUCAUUUACAAUAUUUUUUACCCUUAACUUGUUCAGGGCUUGGCAAUUUAUGUUUAUCGCUCAGCUUUAUCUGAUUAUCCUUAUAUAAUUUAUCAAAUAUAAGGUCAACUUUGGUUACAUCAAAUAAGAACGUUCUAGCCUCUAUGUUUUCAUCUUUUAUAGGCUCAUCCUUGCCCGACGGUCUAGGUUUAGCCAUUAUAGAACAAGUAUACGUGUCUCCUUUAACUAAUUCGGCCAAACACAUUUCGGUUUGAUCGUAAUACUCGUCAUUAAUAGUAUGAACAUCAAAAUUUGGGUCUCUAUAAUAAGUCCCCUUGCUAGAAUUUUUUAUUUGCUCUUCUUCUCUUAUUAAUCUUUCAUACAUAAUCACGUUCGCGCUCAAUUGAAAAAGAUCAGGAAAUUCCUUGUCUUGGAAUUUCUUUUUCAAAUCAAAACUUAAGCAACCUUGAGCGAUUUUGACAAACUCCUUUUCGGGCAAAGGUACAAAACAUUUACUUUUUGCCAUCUUGAACCUUUGAAUGAAACCUUCUGCCCAUUCGUUUGGCAGUUGACGUAGAUUCGUCAAAUCGAUCAAAGUAACUUCAGACUCAGUCUUAUAAAACUGAGCGUGGAACAAUUGCUCCAAUUCUUGCCAUGUUUGGACAGAAUUUGCUGGCAAAUUGAUGAACCAGGAGAAGGCUACUCUUGUUAAUAAACUAGGGAACAACCUCAUUUGAUGGUAAUCAGUUACGUCACCACUUUGCAGUGUGAAUCGCCCUAUGUGUUCUAGAGUAGACACCUCUCCUAAACCGGUAAACAGUGAGAAUUCUAGCACUUUAUACCCUCUAGGCCAUGGAUAUGCUUGGUCUACCCAAUCAGGAUAUAGCUUUGUGUAAGUCGGCCUAAUGACAGGACGUAACCCAAAAUCCGUCUGGUCCUGCACUAUUUUCAUAAUCUAAUUCCUCAACAUGAUGUUGGGAUCAUAUAGAAUUCUUACAGGUUGGUUGACCGGUUGAUUUGCUUGAGGCCUGAUGUUUGGUCCUUGGUUGGAAACAAAGUUGCCAUGAUUUGGGCUAUUGUUACCAUUAGUCUGAACAUUUAUUCCAUCAUUAACACGUGAGGUAUUCUGUCCAUUAUUUAGGACAUUAUCUCUUACGUUUAAGUUACCCCCAAGUUAGAUGUACCAUUGCCACUAUUCUGAUUUGGUAUUAUACCACCUCCUUAGUUUGAAGUAGAGGGAUCAAAAGGUGAUUCUAUCCCUUGAUUUAAACUUAGGAUUGGGGGAUUAUGUCCCACAAUCGACCUAGUUUGAAAGUGGUUUGCAAGAGACACAACUGGCUGACAAAUUUGGCUUACUAACUUAUUCAUUAUUUCGUUCAAAGUAUUCAGUUGUUUGGCCAUGUUGUCAUAAUGUGCAUUCCUAUUCUGGGUAAGUCUUUCCAUAUUAUGAAUAUUUCGUAGAUUUACCUGUUCAACGACAUCUUGUGUGAGUUCUNNNNNNNNNNNNNNNNNNNNNNNNNNNNNNNNNNNNNNNNNNNNNNNNNNNNNNNNNNNNNNNNNNNNNNNNNNNNNNNNNNGUUGCUCCUCAUAUCGCUCGAUCACAGAUUGGACUCCUCCCUAACUUGCUGCUUCCUUAUCGGAUUUCUGAGGCAUAUUUUUUCACCUUUUGUAUCUUCAACACCAAACACCAAGGUCCCAUUGGGCGUGCCAAAUUAUUUCACGCGGGUAGUCGCUAACAAUUAAAAAGGGAUCAGACGAUUGUGUAAGGAACAAACCUCUUGAGACAAAGUCCCAAAAAUGGGUGUUUUAUUGGCGAUGACUUUACAAUUGGUACUUAAACAGAAUGCCUCCAAGGGGCGCAAUCACACGAGUACUGAAAGGAAAUGUUUAAAUCUAAACUAAGAAAUUGAAAUUACAUAUUCUCUGUUUGAGAGUGUUUGAUUCGGGGUCCUUUUGCUCUAUGUCUUCUCUUCCUUUUAUAUUCCCUUGAUGAUUUCUUCUUGAUCAACCGCUUAGAAAUUGCUUGAUUGUUUUAUAACUACCCACUUCCUUCAUGGUGGCCAACUUAUCGUGGAACUGCCGUCUCUAACUGCUGCCACUACUCUUUGUCGUUCAACCGUCUUCAACUGAACUCCUUGAAUCGUGUGUUUCACGCGGGUAGUCGCUAACAAUUAAAAAGGGAUCAGACGAUUGUGUAAGGAACAAACCUCUUGAGACAAAGUCCCAAAAAUGGGUGUUUUAUUGGCGAUGACUUUACAAUUGGUACUUAAACAGAAUGCCUCCAAGGGGCGCAAUCACACGAGUACUGAAAGGAAAUGUUUAAAUCUAAACUAAGAAAUUGAAAUUACAUAUUCUCUGUUUGAGAGUGUUUGAUUCGGGGUCCUUUUGCUCUAUGUCUUCUCUUCCUUUUAUAUUCCCUUGAUGAUUUCUUCUUGAUCAACCGCUUAGAAAUUGCUUGAUUGUUUUAUAACUACCCACUUCCUUCAUGGUGGCCAACUUAUCGUGGAACUGCCGUCUCUAACUGCUACCACUACUCUUUGUCGUUCAACCGUCUUCAACUGAACUCGUUGAAUCAUGGAACGUGAUAAGAUUACUCCAUAACUGUUUCGAUAAUUGCACUUUUGGAUAACCAUAACAUCUUAUGUUUGCUAAGAUCCUGGGCGAUUCGAAAGUUUGGGCGAGAAUAGGGUCAUAACUUUGGGCUACCGCAAGGCACUUCAUUCACUCAGAUCUUGACCGUCUUGCAAGUUUGAGUGAUGGUGUUACCGCGUUCGUAGGCUUUCACUACAUUCAUUAAUAACCUUAUUUGGGCCUUUAUCUUGAAUUGCCCAAUUGGGCUUCAUUCUUUGGGCUGCACUUUUAGCGUGUCAACAGGACCAAAUGUAAUUAGAAAGAUGGCUUUUAGCAGAAGAUUCUUUGGGGGAAGGUGGAGAAAAUGGAGGACCAGGUUUUGAAGAAAAGCAACAUAUUCAUGCUCUUUAUACAAUGCUCAAACACACGUUUGCAUUUUGCAUAUCAGAUUAUGUGCCCUGGUUGAGAUGUCUAGAUAUUGAUGGCCAUGAAAAGAAUGUAAGGAACUCCAUGAACAUUUUUGACAAAUACCAUGAUCCAAUCAUAGAAGAUAGAAUCAAACAAUGGGAAGAUGGUAAGAGAAAGGAGGCAGAGGACCUUCUUGACAUUAUGAUAACGCUUAAGGAUGAAAGUGGGAAGCCACUUCUGUCGAUAAAUGAGAUCAAAGCUCAAUGCGGUGUAAUGUCAUUUCUGUUGCUUAUAUAUAUUGUGACAUGGCAGUACUUACAUAGUUUAAUAUAAUCUUGUUAUUUAGGAGUUCUUUUUUGGAGUAGAUGGUCCUGCGGCAGGAGCAGAAUGGGCGCUAGCAGAAAUGAUUAAUUAACCUGAGAUUCUCCAAAAGGCAGUCGAGGAAAUAGACAGGGUUGUAGGGAAAGACCAAUGGAUUCAAGAAUCAGAUGUUCACCAAUUAAAUUAUUUGAAGACAUGUGCAAGAGAAGCUUUCAGGCUGCAUCCUCUCGUUCCGUUCAAUUUGCCGCACCUGUCAUCAACAGACAUACUUCAUUCCGAAAGGCGGCCAUGUCUUGUUGAGCCGAAUUGGACUGGGUCGUAACCCUGAGACCUGGGAAGAACCCUUGAAAUACAAUCCAGAGCGGCAUUUGGGUGGAAAUGUCAGCAAAGUAGAUUUGUCAGAACCAAACUUGAGGUUCUUGACUUCUUCUACUAGUAAGCGUGCAUGUACGGGACAGAGUGUUGGUACACUUUUGACUAUAAUGGCAUUGGGAAGGCUGAUUCAAGGGUUCACAUGGAGCCUACCACCCAAUGAAGAGAAGAUCGAUCUCUCUACAUCGGAAGAAUUGACUGUGGCUAAACCUUUGCAUGCACAUGCAAGGCCUCGCUUGGAUGAGGCGUUGUACCAACUUUGAAGAGGUUAAGAAAUAUGUCAAUUGGAGACAUAUAGCUAGCUAUUGUAAUACCUAAGUACUGCUGUAAUAUCAGAGUACUUCGUGAAUAAAUAAAAUUGGUAUUUCAGUAUUUCAACAAUGCGCACAGUCUUGUUGCAAUUUCUAUUUAUUCGUGCCUCGUUUUAUUUUGCUAAGAUCUAUUUUUCAAAAAAUGAGUAGUUGAUAAAUGGACAAUGCUUGUGAAUCAUAUGAGUGUGAGGUCAAAAUUAAUGUUUGAUUUGAAAAAUAACAUUUUAGGAGAAAAAAAUGAAAAGCAAACGAAAGCUAAGAAUGAAUUCAAACGUAGAAUUCAUUGUUCAAACUCUUAAUUUUUAUUUAAUACUUGCCAAGUAUGGUAGUUUAUUAUUGCUGGAGAUAAUCAACUUUAGUUGUUCUCUAGAAAGAAUCAGUUGGAAGAACGGUCAAUUAAGUGUUCACUUUUAUUUUAGAAUUAUUUUAUAUUUUGAAAUCAACAUUUGAAACUUUGAUAAAGUUCUUUAUCUUUGUGUUUAUAUACAAAUAAUAAAACAUAUUAAUAUUAAGUUCAUAUUCUUUUUAAUCAUACAUAUUAAGUUCAUAUUCUUUUUAAUCAUACAUUCUUUAAAAAAAAUAAUAAUAAAUAAAAAGUCUUUUAGCAAAAUCUAUCUAAAAAUAUGCCCUAAAUAUUCAUUGACACUGUUGUACAAACUAUUUUACUUCUAUAACAAAAGGUAAUGAACUGAAAUCUUUAAAUAUGAAUCUGAUUGUUCAUCAAUCCCACUAACUUCUAAUCUUCUACAUUGAACUUGAAACAGCAAUUUGGAAAAUGUCUUUUGCUUCAAACCCCAUUGCUCCAUAAAAAUCGCCAUUAUCUUUAUGAAGGCAGACUGGCAAUUGGUUUCAACGAUGAUGAAGUUUUGCAAAUGUCUAAACCUUUCAAGUUGUCACUUGUAAGCAAAUAUCUCAUUUUAGUCUUCAUUUUCAAAAUAUUACAAAAGUGGUCCCUUCCUUUGUACUUUCCUGUGACGAGUUUAAGAUUGGUCACCUAGACACAGUGGCGAAUCUAGGAUUUCGACUCAGCUAGUGCGGUCGUUAAUCGUUGGCCGUUGUCCGUCGAUAAUUAACGAGCGUAUAGCGAUAUCGUUUAUUAAUAUUAAAUUAAAUAAUAUUAAAAAUUCUUCGAUCUAUAUGUAAAUAUACUAAAACGUAAAAAUCAUAUAUUUAUAUCAUAUUAUAUUUCCAUACAAUCCGAAAUAAUAUAAAUUACAUGAUACAUAAGACUUCUUUGUGUUAUCAAUACUUAACAAAUCGUUUGUUUGGCUAAAAGUGGUCGAGAGAUUAGAUCACCACUACAAAAACUAGAUUAAAAUUCAGUUGAAAAAAUCAUUCCAUAAUUAGUAUGAGAAUUGAACGUUAAUCAAAGAUUAAACGUAAUUAAAAGUAAUUUUAAAAUAUAAUUAAAGUUUCAAUUUUCAAUUCUCAACACCAAUUCAUCAUAAAUUAUAAAUUCCCCAAUUUCUCAUUUUUAAUUUUCAUGAAUCAAAUAUUCACAUUUCACGAUAUUCAAAUUAAUUUUUUAUAUCACAAUUCACAAUAGACAAAUUCUCAAAUAACAUAUAAAUUAAAACUCAAUACUUGUAAGUCAUAUCUUAUAAAUUAUUAAAGCAUAAAAUAUUUAAAAAUAAAAAAACCAAAAAAAAAAAAAAAAACCUUUUGUAAAGUCUUAACAUAUACUAUUUUGUUAAAUUUAGAUUCAAAAUUCAACCAUUACCAUAAUGGUUAAGCUUACAAUCAUCCUAAUUCUAGAAGUUAUAGGUUUGAAUCCUUUCCUUAGAGAAUAAAUUUUGGUAAAUAUUGUAGAAAUAAAAAUUUUGCACAAUGAAAUGAAGGGGUUGGAAUCGAACCCAAGACUUACAAUAUAAAAAAGGAAGCUCUAACCAACUAAGUACAAGAGAGGUUUAAGAGAGUAAUUCUGUAAAAUAUUUGUAGAACAGUUUUGCUACAAGUACAGAGAAGUUUCACAAAUUUUUUUGUCACAUGUCAAGUGUCAACACUGCAUCAGUUUGUUUUAAUCUAUUUUUUCACCAUCCAAUCCAAGCACGCCACCUCUCUUUUGUUGAAACUUUCCUGUGAAACAUCUCGAUACUUAUGGCUUUUUUCUUUGUAGAAUCAUGUUGCGCUUGCUAGUAUUUAUAGCCUAUUUUCAUAAUUAUGGAAUAUCAUGUUUCCACUUUUUCAUAAAUAUUGCUUUAAAGAUGAAUUAAAAUACUGAAUUGGGAAAAAAAGUGCGUUAAAAACUUAGAAUAGGUUCAUAACUUAGACAUUUGGAUAUUGCAUGGCAGUUCUAUGCAUACGUAAACAAUUCUCAAUGUCGAACCAAAGUUCAUUAUUUUCAUUUUAGUCAUCUUCUAAUCUUUGAAAACGCCUACUUUGAAAAUUUACUAGUUGUGAACUUUCAAUGGAUUGAAUUACUCUACAAAUUUUUAUUUUAUUUUUGAAUCUUGUGGUUUAAAGGUCAAACUUAUAAAAAAAAUAAAAAGGAGUAGUAAUUAUUAAUUUAUAUUUAUUUAAGACUUGCCAUUUACACGUCCAAUACAAUUACUUCAUUUAUUAUGGUCUUUUUUCUUGCUUAUGGAUCAUGAACAAUAAUUUGCAAUUAGAACUUUAAACAUCCUCAAAACUGCUUUGAUGAGAUCAAAGCAAUCUCCCAAAUAAUAGCCAGGUGUAAAAUGAGCAAAACAAAGAGUAACUGUUAAGAAAAAGUUUCAAGUUCACAUGUAAUAUGAUUUUACGGGAGUGUGUAUGGUUAAAUGAAUUUUUAAAAAAAUAUAUUUUUGAAAAAAUAGAACCAAACAGGGACUUAGUAUUGAAAGGCACAAAUUUAUUUAUUUUAAAUGAAACUUCAUUUUAUAGUUUGAAGUCCUUUUUAGUCAUAAUCAAACUGAAUUUUAUUAGAACUCCCAUAAAGUUGACAAUAUACUGAAUAUAGUAAAAAGCAUAAAGUUAGAUAUUAUUUAAAAAAAAAAAAAAGAAAAAUCUCCCCGUAAAUUUUUGUUUUAUUUUAUUCAAACAUAUUUUCGUUCCUUGUCAAUCAUUUUGCCCUAAUUUGGUGAAAAUUAAAACUAAUUUUUCAUAAUUUUUAAUUAAAAAUGGAUAAAAUAAUAUUUAAAAAAUUGUGAAUCAAUUAUUAACUUUGACUUAAAUUAAAAUCUAAAUUUUAAUCCAUCUCUCUUCUCUUCUUUUAUUUUUAUUUUUCAAAUUAAUGCUCGAAUUUAUUUUCGAUGUUCUUGUAUUUUAAGAUCUUAAUCUCUUACCAGUUUGCAAAUUAAUGCACGAAUUCAAUUUUCUGUUCUUCUAUAUAUACUAAAAAUUUAAAAUUAAAUUUUUUAAAACUCAAAAAUUGAAACUCCACACCGCAAAUCAUAUAGCAAAUAUUAUUUUCAUUCAUAAUUUAAAAAAAGUAUUGGGAUACAAUUUUGAUUCAUCAAUUGAGUCUUAGGUUUGCUUGCAAUGAUCACUAAUUUGAGUCGUAAACUUCGGGAUCCUAUGGGAUGAGUCGAGGUGCGCAUAAGUUGGUCUCAACACCCAUGAUUAUAAAUAAAAUAAAAUAAAAAUUAUAUAUAUAUGACAUAAUAUAAUGUAUUUAUUUAUAUUCGCAUACUGCUAAACUUUUGCCUUCAUUGUAGCUUAACAUAAAAUCCAGAAAUACAAGUAUACUUCAUAUUCCAUCAGACCCUCACUGACCUCCGAAGCUCGCACUAUCUAAAUGAGCAUAACUCUUUUAAUUGAUCCUCGCGGCAGCCGCAACCUUUGCUGCCACUCCACCUGGAUGAGCAGUCAAACUAGGAUCAUUCCGCAGCUAUGCACUCAUAAUCCCUUCAGCAUCUUCCCUCGUUGCGGCCUUAUCCGCCGGCAGUUUUGCCUUGGCUCCCUACACACGUCAACAAAGUCAAGAAAAACGUCUUUCUUUUCACCUGAAAUAUAUAAUUGUUUUUCCUUCUGAAAAGUUGAAAGUUGCAGCCAAAUUUUCUCUAUUACGCAACUUAUAGCAAUUCAUAAUUAAGUGUCCCAAAUGCUUGCAAUAAAUUUGGAAGUCAGACUUUAAUUUGCCUCCCGCACAAUCACCAUCAAGAACUAGGUCAUCUUCAUGAACCUCAACAAUACACUUCAUCUUCUCAUUUGAAAAUAGAACAUCACAUAUUUCUUCAAUGAUGAGAUCACGAUUAUAUAAGAUUGCCUCUUUAAACAACAAAUAUGAAGCGGGUACAAAAUACAACAAAAUCAAUCGCAUAUAAGUGAGCACUGCUCGCUUUCUAACCCAUCACAACGAAAAUCUUGUAUUGUGAUCCAAUAGCGGAAUGUUAAACUUCAUAGUUACCAUCACGGAAAACCUCGAUCUUACCAAGAAUUUCAAAACCAAAAGCUCCGGUACUACUUGUUAUGAAUCAGAUUAGAUUUGAAACCACUUUUUGAAAAGUGGAACAAUUUUGAUACCAAUUUUUUAUGAAAAGAUAAGAGAUUAAAACAAUUAUAUAAAGUAAAGAUCCUAAGAACACCAGAAGAAAAUAAGUUGCAGAAAAUGGAGAUUUUAAUAUAAUAUGAAAAAAUUGAACAAAGAUUACGUGUUUAUAAUGUUUCUAACUUGUAUUGAAGUUAAAUAACCCAACUAAAUUAUAGAGAAUAGUCAAAUAUAUAUAAAGAACAAUUCAAGCCCUAAAAGUAGAGUUGUAGACGAAAUAUAAUGUUUGGAAGUUUUCUUAUCUUGAUCUCUUUAAAUUCAAUACAAAUUUCAACUCUCAACAGGGCUUUUGUAUAGAAUUUCAACUAGAAUUUGUCAAAUGGAUCUUGAAUAGGAUUUCAAAAGCAUUUUAAACUUCUUAACAUGCAAUUUAAUUAGAACUCUCAAUUAUUUUCAAAAAAGAAUUCGGGUUACAUCCAAAUUGUAACAGAUGUGAAUAUAAAUUGUAAUGAGAAUUAAAAAUUUUUGAGCUAAUUUCAAGAAUUAAAGAAGAUUAAAAUUGUUUACCUUUUUCGAAGCGUCACAUAAAAGCUUCCCAAACAUUUUCAAUCCAAAAUAAAAUAUCAAGCAACAGCAUGCAAGCAUCAUAAUCAGUCCACCAUCACCCAAAGGAUCAGCCUUAACUCAUCUUCUCUUCAUACUUGACAACAAAUGUCAAAGAAUUAAUUCUGAAAUCAAAAGAAACUAAAACCUUAUUUUGUAAUGUCCAAUCUCAUUUGUUAAGGGAUAAAUCUCACAUCGAUUGAAUAUCGAAAUAUAAACCAACAUAUAAAGGUUUAAACCACUCCUCUUAGCCCCUAUUGGACUACCACUAAAAUAAAUUUUUUUUUUUUUUGGAAAAAAUGAAUUUUAAAAUAGUGAUUUUUUGGAUAAUAUGUGGUUAAAGCAAGAAUAAAAUUUUGAUUUACGUGCAAAAUAUUUUAUUAUAAGAAUGUGUAAAUAAAAAUAAGUUUGAGAAAAAUGAGUUUUAUUAUAAGCUCCAGUGAGAAAUUUUACUAGAUUAAGACCUAAAAAAGAACACAAGAAUUUCAAGAUUGAUAUAUUCAAACCAACAGUCAUCUUGCAAGGGUGGGGUAUGUAUAAAUUUCAUACUGAUUAAAUAUCAAAAUAUAAAUCAACAUAUAAGGGAUUUGACUACUCCUCUUAAUAAGAUUGAUCUUUUAAGAAGAAAAUUCAAUCAUUAUAUUGUCUAGUAUUGCAUGUCCAACAUGUAGCAUGAAGAAAAAGUUUACAUUUUGCCACUUGUUAAGUUUCUGUCAAACUCGAACUUGAAACAACAAUAAAAACUCAGAUUUUGGGUUUAGAAUGAUGUCUUUUUUUGCAUGAAAGAACGUUUAACAUACUCUUAAAUUGGCGAGACUCAUUGACAUUUUAGCAUAAAUACAUUUAUAUUGUGGCUGCUCCAACUCGGUCGGCCUUGACCGUCAAAUUUUGUGACUAGAAAUACUACGGUAGUCGACCUCAGAGAAUAACUUUAUGUUAUUGAGAUUUUAGUGAAUAUUAGUAAUUACAUUUAAUCCGUCUCUAGUUGCGAUUAUUCCAAGAUUUUUAGCAAUAUUUGAAACGUUAAUAAAGCAGCUGAUCUCAGCUUAACAGCAACAGUUGAAUGUUUUCCUACCCAAUAGUUUUAGUGGAAUGGGAAAUGACCGCUAAACCCUUUAUUUUUUGCAUUCAAAAGUCUUCAGCCGGGCAUUAUUUGGGAUUACAAAGAAAAGGCCUUACAGCUGAUUUUUUUCUGUGUCAACAAUUUCGGCUGAGUCGGGACCCACUGCACAAUAUGACGUUCGAAAUAUUGCUAAAAAUCCUAGGAUAAUCGCAACCAGACAGAAGCUUAUUCUGUGGUGGCCCCAAUUCGGUCUGGCAGGCAAAUUUUUUGAGUAUAUUGUUGGGAAAUUAUUAAUUUAUCAUGUUGGUCUAUAUAUAUAUAAUUAAUUUUGUAUAAAGAAUAUCUUAAAAUUAAGUCCGUUUAAAUGAUUUAAUAAAAAAUUAGAGUCAUUGGGCUUUGGCAUCUAAUAAAGUGUGAGCCUGAAUUUGUAUGGAGGUUAGAUUCCUUUAGAAUUGUAUUUUAUGACGGGUAGAAUACAUAUCAAAAUUAUAUAUAGGGUUACGGUUCUCAAUUCAUAUAUAAAUUUCAUUUUAUGUGUCAUCCCAUCAAUAUAAGAAUAAAAAGAGAAAAUAUAUUGAAGAGGAAGAUCCAAAACCUACAAUCAAGGUCAAUAAUUAAGAAGAAUGUAUUGAAACAAUCAAGAUUAUAGAGUAAGAAGCCAAAGUCAAGAACAAGAAUUUAGGAAUCAAAAGAGGCAAUAUUUAAGAUUAAAGAUUAAGAAACCAAAUGUGAAAAGAUUGCCAUUGAUCUCCAAAAUUCAAGAUACGGAAUCAAGAUCCAUUAAUAAAAAAUCAUUCCCAAUAUGUUAAGUAGUUAUAUUUCUCACUUAGUAAUACUUUUUAAUUAUUUGGCUAGAGGAUCUUGGCAAUAUAGUAAUUAGGUUUCCAAGUUCUUGAGAUUAAAUGUUCUAUAAAAUACUAACAAGUGGUAUCAGAAACAAUAAAAUGUUAAACCAUGAGAUUUUUUAGAGUUGAAUUCUGUACUUUGGAUUUUUAAAUUUUGGGAUAUGAAUUUCAAUCCCUAAAUUUCAAAAAUUUUGGAUUUUGUUUUUGGAAUUUUCAGAACAACAGAAUUGUUGCAGCGCUACAACAUUGCGUUUCGACUAGGAAUAGCGUAAAUAGCGUGGCAAAGCCAUAGAGUUGCACCAGGUGCUACAGUGCCCGAUCGCUACUUGGGGUAUCCAGGUAGUGUCACAUUGCCCAGUUUUAGGCCCUGCAACUCUAAUUUACUGUACAUAUUAAAUUUUAUUUUUUAAAAACAAAAGAAAAAAAUUAAAUUAAAUUUAAACAUAAGGGGCAAUCAAAUUCAAAUUUUGGUACUAUUUUUUUUUUUUUUUGAAUUGCUAAUUUCUAAAAUAGAUUAGUUGAAACAACAAAGUAACAUCUUUUGGUUAAAUUAAUUUAUUUGGAACAUUCUGAUAAUUGUAUUUAUGUAAUUAAUGCAGGUAUUGACUGGUCCAAAAUAAAGUAAAUAUUUGGUUUAAUUGUAUGUAUACCAUUGAUAUUAAAUAUGCGACAAUUAUAAAGUUUUUCAUUAUGUGAACAUUAAGUCGGUCCAAAGAUAGACUUGAUGUUGGACAAGAUUUAUUGUCAAUAUUUGAUUAUUACACUAAGAGCACCACUUGCAAGUUGAUAUUUUUGUCCAAAUAUUAAAUAUCAAUAUUAUAUCAUCUCUUGAGAUAGGCCUGCCAUUAUUUGAAAUUGUUAAUUAUCUAAUAUGAAUUCUCAUGUGAACAUAUUAUUUUGAUUUACAUUCUCUAUUUAGUUAAUUCAUCAACUUGUACAAUAUCUAUCAGUAUUAAUUCAGUUUCUUUGCUUGAUGAAACUAAAUUUUAAGGACUAUAAAGAGAAUGGUACUUUAAAAAGUGGAAUCGUUCAACUUGCACGAAUCUUAUGAUCAUGAAGCGUGAAAUUUCAGUAACAUUCAUGGGCACCGUGUUCAAUAAAGUAACUACUGCCAAGAAAUUUCUAAAAAAAAUGAAGAACGCUUUGCAAAAGGCGACAAGCCCAAAAUUAGUACGCUUCUAACGAACUUGAAUUCAUUAAAGUAUAAGGCCAAAGAAAAUAUAAGGGAAUACAUCAUGGAUAUGUCACACCUUGCUUCAAACCUAGAGGCGUUAAAAUUUAGUAGGAGAAAACAUAUUAGUCUAGUAUUGUAUAUUGAUGACAUACUACUUGCCUGCAAUGAUAUAGGUUUAUUGUACGAAAUCAAGAGAUUUUUAUCAUGACAUCUUGAAAUGAAAAUUUUUGGUGACGUAUCUUUUGUAUUUGGGAUACAAAUACACCAAGAUCGUUCUUGGGUAUUUUUGAAUUAUUACAAUAGAGUUAUAUCGAUAAUGUUCUUGAAAGAUUUGAGAUAUAGGAAUGUAAAUCAGGUGAUAUCCCUAUUAUUAAGGGAGAUAAGUUUAGUCUCAAUUAAUACCCUAAGAAUAAGUUUAAAGAAAAAGAAAUACAAAAAAUUUCAUUUGCUUUAGCAAUUGUAGUUUAAUGUAUGCUUAGAUUUGCACACAUUCGAAUAUAACAUUCAUUGUUGGAAUGUUGGGCAGAUACUUAAGUAACUCUAGAUUGGAUAUAUGGAAAGUAGUCAAGCAGGUUAUUUGGUAUCUAUAUAGAACUAAGGAUUAUAUGAUCAUAUACAGAAACCAGACCAAUAAGAUAUCACCAGAUAUUUUGAUUUUAAUAAUGGAAUAUAACUGCGAAAUUUUGUCACCAGGCUGCACAAUUUGUAUGGAGUUGAAAGACCACUUAAGUCAUUCCAUAACAAUAAGAGUCUUAUAUUCCAACAGAAGCUCGAUAAUGUCAAAGUUUAUAGACAUUUAGUUCCUAGUUGUUAAGGAAAGAAUCCAAAGUUUUCAGGCUUCUAUAGAGCGUAUUGUGACAAACUUAAAAAUUAUGAAUUUGCUUGCUAAAGUACGACAACCUGAGGUCUUUCAUGUGCAUACUAUUUAGCCCUGGUUUAAGUCACAUUCUUUUGAAAAAAUACAUUCUUAAAUAAUAUUUUCAUAUCAUUUCAACUCACAUUUUUUAGUAAAAUAAUAUUACACGUAAAUUUAAAACUUUUCCAUAUUUUUUAACUACACAUUUUCCAUCAAUACACUAUUUAAAAAUGCAUUCAUAUGGAAAGAAUGUGGCUCAAACAAGGACUUAUAUUAGUAUUGCAACUUUUGAUGAUAUGAUAGUUUAGGGAGAGUUUGUAUUUGGAUGUUGUCUGAUUUAGAUACAUAAUUUUUAUCCAUAAAUAUUCAUUUUAUUUCAUAAAUAAAGUAUUCAAUUUGGUUUCACUUUGAUUAAAAUUUUUGUUUUGAUCUCAUUAAAAAAUAAUGUAGGACCAAUUGGAAAUAGACAUGUUUGGGUCACAUUACAUGUAAUUUUCAUGCUACACAUCUAUUCUUGAUAUAUGUCAUUUGAUUGUGUUGAUAUACGUAACCAUUUAUGAGUUUAGCUAUAUUAUUUAUAACGAAGAUCACUUUGAUCCCAUAUUGAUAUAAUUAAUGGAUGAUAUUGUUUGGAGAUAUUUUUGAUUAUGAUAGCAAAAGUUUUGAGCUCGUAAUGCUCACAUUUAUAAGGUAAUUUAUGUGGUCCAAGUGAGAGAUUGUUGAAAAAUUAUUAAUUUUUCAUGUGGACCUACCUAUGUAAUUAAUUGUAUAUAAAUACUAUCUUAAAGUUAAGCUCAUUUAAAGUGAUCUAAUGAAAAACAAACUCAUUGAGCUUUGGUCAUCUAAAUAAAAUGUGGGCCUAAAUAUGUGUAGAGGUCUGAUUCCUUUAAAAUUAUAUUUUAUGAUGGGCAAAAUACAUAUGAAAAACUAUAUAUAGAGUUAUGAUUCUUACUUCAUAUGUGAUUCUAAUUUUGUGCUUCAUACAAUCAACACAAGAAUAACAAGAGAGAAUAUAUUGAAGGGGAAAAUCCAAAGCCCACAAUCAAGAAGAAAGUAUUGAAACAGUCAAGAUUAUGGAACAAGAAGCCAAAGUCAAGAACAAGAAACCAAGAACUAAAAGAGGCAAUAUUCAAGAUUAAAGGUUACGAAACCAAGUAUAAAGAGAUUGCAAUUGAUCUCCAAGAUUCAAAAUUUGGAAUCAAGAUCAAGUAAUAAAGAAUCAUUCUCAACGAAUUAAGUUAUGUUCUGCAUUUAAUAAUUCUCUUGAUAAUUUGACUCGAGGAUCUUAAGAAUAAGAUAAUUAGAUUUUCAAGUUUUGGAGAUUUAAAGUUUUGUAAAAUACUAACAAAUGUAACUUCAAGUUGUCGAGACUUUAGUUAAUAUUAGUAGCUACAUAAGGUGAAGAGUGGUGAAGAGUUGCUUACACAAAAAGUAACUAAGGUUAAGAUGGAAUACAAAUCCGCAGUAUCUUUCGGCUCACCCGUUUAUUGGGCUGUUGAAUGGAAAUUGAGACCUAUAUAGGAUAUGAUUGGGACUCACAUUGGAAAGGUAUUUUCUAUACUAUUGGGUCAAAAGCCCUUUCCUUUUUCAGCAAACUUGAUAUACAAAUUAAUAACUCUUUAUUGCACUUCUCCAACUUUAUAUGCUAAACUUUUCAAUUGUCUUAAUAGUUAAUAUCAUUUACUUAUGAAUAUAUUAUUGCAAACCAUCGAUUUGAUUGCAUUCUCUCCAUUUUCAUCGACAAUCCUCAUUGUUGUUGCAUUACCAUGAUGUGAUCUAAAACAACAAUAAUAAAGGAAAAAAAGGCUAGUUACUAUUUAUUUAUGGACAUGAAUACCUAAUUUUAUUCAAUUUUAUUGAGCAGUCCAGUGCGACUGUCUACCUCACUACACAAGCCAAACGGACGUGAAUCUAAUCCAAAGUGAAAUCUAAAUCACAAAAUUCAUCAAAACCCUCCAUGUCAAAGCAUUUCAUUUUUGGAGACCAAACCAUUAAGGGGUCCAAAGAUUUCAUGUCAUACCAUAAGCUUGAAUCUGGUGAUGAUUUUGUAUCAGACAUAUCACUCCGUGCUAUGUCUUCUUUAAUUUCAAAGGGAAUGUUAGGUCCUCCACCCACUUGGGAAAUUUUUUCUUCAAAACAAUGUAUAUUAGAAUCAGGAAGAUCUGUAUCUAUAAUUAUUUGUGGGGCCCUCAGUUUAUCUCUGCACGUGUGGUGGCCAAAGUAUGUUGUUCGAUACAAAAUGGGUUGUUCUUUGGUUUUUUGAACUUGCUUUGUAGCCUUGCAACCUUGAUUCUUGUGGGUGCACCUAAAGUAGCUUCUGUAAACCACAAAUAAUGAAAAUUGAGUUAUUUAAUUAUAUUUUUUUUUGUGAAACGUGCUACGUCAUGAGUAAGUCUGGACUCACCUUUUCUUUAGAGACCAUGUAUGUUAAAUAUUCAUAAAUGAAUCAAGUUGAAUCACAUUAUCUACCCAUGUAUUAAUAUUUACCUAGGAUAUUUUGCAUCGAGAAUGAUUUUCUGUCCAUAUUUUCUCCAUGCACAGCCAUCUUCCUUCGCAGGAGAACUUGUUGUCCAUAAGUCACUGGUCUUUCUGCAAAUUCAAUCAAACAAUCUUAUUAAUAUAUAUAAUAAUUAAUUUAAUUUUCUUCCCUAUGAAAAUGAGGUCGAAUUCAAAUAAAUAAAAAGAAAUUGGAUUAACGCUGGAGAAAUUGUUGUCCAUGAGUCACUGGUCUUUCUGCAAAUUCAAUCAAACAAUCUUAUUAAUAUAUAUAAUAAUUAAUUUAAUUUUCUUCCCUAUGAAAAUGAGGUCGAAUUCAAAUAAAUAAAAAGAAAUUGGAUUAACGCUGGAGAAAUUGUUGUCCAUGAGUCACUGGUCUUUCUGCAAAUUCAAUCAAACAAUCUUAUUAAAAUAUAAUAAUUAAUUUAAUUUUUUUCCCUAUGAAAAUGAGGUCGAAUUCAAAUAAAUAAAAAGAAAUUGAAUUUAAUCCAAAAUCCUGGAUUUCGGACGCUUUAAAAUAGGUUCGAUGAUAACUAGUUUCAUUUAGGUUACCCUAAUAGUAUGGCAAGAAUCUACAUUGAAUGGUGAUUUUUAUGGGAUAUUUGGUUAAAAAGUAGAAAAAAAUUUUGAAUUUACGUGUACAAUAUUUUAUUGUAUAAAUUUAUUGUUAAAAAUAAGUGUAUAAAAAAAAGGAGUUUGAAAAUAAUGACCACCAAAGAGGACCAAAUGAAAAUUCCAUAGUUGGUCCUGAUAGAUAGCCCUAGAAGCAAGUUGCUAGGUAUUUAUCACCCUAGUAGCAAGUUAGUUCAAGCAACUCUCUUCAUUUAUGCAAAAUGCCAUGACUUACUUAUCUCGGAGGAGACAAAUACUUGAUCUUAUGAUAGCCCUCACACAUGGAAUUGGUUGGUAGGCUAUAGUUGGUUCAAAGCUUGAGCUACCUUUAAUUAAGUUGAAGUCAGGUAAUCAUUGUAUUAAAAAAAAUUAAAAUUUAUAGAUGGACAUUAUACAUUAUUGAAUAAAGCACACACUGUCUUUUUAUAGGUAACAAGGAGUAUGGUAUCACCAUUCUUGUCUUGCUGAGUUCGAACAAUCUUGCUAUAGUGAUAGGCUUAACGACAGACUCAACGAUAAGGGGACGCAUAUCGAUACAUGAUUAGACAGUUUGAAAAAAAAAUACAACACUCAAUCUUGCCCUGCUACCCCACCCUGUCAUCCCUUCCCUGUCGAAAGGAGGAAUCAAGGAAUUCUCAUAUAGACAACAAUCAUCACAUUAAAGAAAAAUGGAAGUUGAUCAUCAGCCUUUCAUUGUAGUGUGCAAUUUUUACGGCAUGCAUUUAUGGCAUGCCGUGAAAGAAGACUAUUUACGACAUGCACUAUAUAUAUGCCGUAAAAAUUAAUAACUUGACGUAUUUACGGCGUGCAUUUGUGUACGUUGUAAAAUGUGAAUAUUUACGGCGUUCUUUUAGGACAUGCCGUGUUUGUUAAAAAAUUAAAUUUAUUACGGCGUGCAUAUGCACGUCGUAAAUACAUUGACUUAUUAUGGCGUACAUAUACAUGCCGUAAAUACCUUCUAUAUUCCCCCUUUUUAAUUUCCCUAGUUUUAUUCGGCACUUCCAUCAGACGACUUCUUCUUCCUGCGUUCGACCUACUACUUUACGCGCCGUUCUCUCCCACCUUACCACCCUUCAAUUGGCCGUCAACCAUUCAAUCGGCCGUGAGCCCACUAAUAUACUUGUUUGAAUGUUGCCCCAACUAAAUUCCAAAAUCCCUCUUCCUCCCUCCCUUCCUCUUAUCUCAUUUUUAUCCCAAAUCCCGUUCGGAUUUCUUCAACCCCAUCACUAGCCGUAUGUUGGCCGGUCUCUGCUAGUAUGGCAACUUCCCGCUGGCUGCCCGAGCCGACAUGAAUGAUGUGCUCGUGGCCCUCGCGCGCGAGGCUAGGUGGAUCGUUGAUGCUGACGGCACUACCUACAGACAAUCCUCGCAGCCUCUUCCUCCUUCCGCUAAUCUUACUAGUAUUAAUCAUUACAAUAAUAAUACUUCCAAUCUAGUGAGUAUAUUUGGAACUAGAAAAGAACAAGGAUUUUUUAGCUGGUUUUGUUUAUUUCUAGGUUUAUAUAGCCUUUGAAUUGUGUUGCGUUAGUUUGUAGUUGGGUAAAUGACAAUUUUUAGACCUUUUUGUGCUAUGGUAAACGUAAGAACAAGAAUUACGGAAUUAUGGAUGUGUGGGUCGUUGUUUAUUAUGAUCUUUGCCAUUUUCGUUCUAUCAGUUUAAAUUUUGAAUAUCUAUGAUAUGACUACCUUGCAGGAGAUGGAUCUUCCUAUCUAGUUAGUAAUUGAAGAGAGGAGAGUAGAAGAAUUUAUUAUUGUAUCUUCAUUAUUGCCUUACUGUAGUUUGAAGGUUGGAAAGUUCUUAAAUGUUUUCCUUUUUUGCUAUGAAUGUUCAAACUAAAAUUAUCCACUUAAUCAAAUAUAGAUUUUAUGGUUUACACUUGCUAAAUUAAUUGCAUUUUUUUGCUUCAGUUACCUAAUGAUAAGCUUCCCUGAGAGCUUUAGAAGAUGGAACAAAAUCAAAGAAUUUUUGUUGGGGAUUGCAAGUUAUCAAUUUAGUGUGCAUUUGCGUCAAUACCCAGUGAACAUUAUUGACUCUAGCAGUGUUUUAAUGAAUUCAAAACCAAUAAGAGCUGAGGCAUGUCCAGGGUACCUGCUCCAGAAAGACUAGAGGGUGAAAGUGUUGGGUAUGUGGUCCAAAUUUCUUGCAUCUCUUCCUAAUUCUCCCCAUUUCUUGCAUACACAUGGUCCAAAUUUUAUCCCUCUUUUGGAAGAGUUUACGACCCCAACAAAGUAUACUUUUCAGUUUGGCACCUAAUAUUAUGAGUCCAUAAGACAUGUAGAAUGUAUAUUAGGAAAGAAGAGAGGAAACAGAUGCGAUUUCUCUUACAUUGUUAACAGAGAUCAUUAGGGGAUCAAUGUUAAUUUUCUAGGAAUUUCUUUAUGCUGAUAAGAACACGAACACUAUUGUCUCAAAGGGUGUUCAAGGAGCUAAAAUUGAUUAUCAAGAACCCGCAGAUUUAGAGCUUACGAUGGAUAUUGUUACCAACCUUCAGAAGGUUCAUUUUACAUUUUCUUGAUCUUUUCAGUGACCUUUCCUUUAGUUAGCAUU
rnacentral:lncRNA from 1 species